UAUAAUGAAUGACUGCAAUUGGUCAGUAUUUGUCAUCUUUUGAUUAGAUUUACGUAUAUUUAUUCUGUUUUAUCGGGUUUAACCAAAUAAAGAUGUAGAAGAUGAAAUCGUGAAAACUGAGAAAUAAUGAAUUGUUAAUGAUUUUGUGAUGAAAUGCAUCUUAUGGUCGUGAUAUUGACAAGACUUAAGCAUAUAUAUCAAUGGUGGUGGUUUUGAAAUUCCAGCUACACGUUUGUACCUUAAUUUCAUGCUGAGACCUCUCCCCCUUGAUUUCAUUUUGACCAAAACAAUCACUCUUUUUAAACAGGAAAAAACAGAAAUAGAUUUGUAACAUCCAGUCAAAGUAAAAGAGUACUCAACUUUCGUUUAAUGCUUAUGUACAAUAAAAUAUUCAAAAUACAGAUUUUUCGUUUAACAUAUCAUAAUUAUUAUAAUAAGAUAUUG
rnacentral:lncRNA from 1 species